rnacentral:rRNA from 1 species
CCGGAUGAGUUAUAUAAGUGCAUGUUUAUAUAGGAAAAGUUGGGGAGACCUGACGCUGAAAGAUGGACUCGCGUCCCAUUAGCUAGUUGGUAGGGUAAUGGCCUACCAAGGCGACGAUGGGUAGCCGGCCUGAGAGGGUGGCCGGCCACACUGGGACUGAGACACGGCCCAGACUCCUACGGAAGGCAGCAG